GUCUAUGCCCAUGCUACCCUGAAAAAGCUCAAUCCCAUCUGAUCUCGGAAGCUAAGCAGGGUCAGACCUGGCUAGUACUUGGAUAGGAGAUCACCUAGGAAGACCAGGUGCUGUAGGCA
rnacentral:rRNA from 1 species